GUGGGGAAUAUUGGACAAUGGGCGCAAGCCUGAUCCAGCCAUGCCGCGUGAGUGAUGAAGGCCUUAGGGUUGUAAAGCUCUUUCAGUGGGGACGAUAAUGACGGUACCCACAGAAGAAGCCCCGGCUAACUCCGUGCCAGCAGCCGCGGUAAUACGGAGGGGGCUAGCGUUGUUCGGAAUUACUGGGCGUAAAGCGCGCGUAGGCGGCUUGACAAGUUGGAGGUGAAAGCCCGGAGCUCAACUUCGGAAUUGCCUUCAAGACUGUCUCGCUCGAGGCAGGGAGAGGAGAGCGGAAUACCCAGUGUAGAGGUGAAAUUCGUAGAUAUUGGGUGGAACACCGGUGGCGAAGGCGGCUCUCUGGCCCUGAUCUGACGCUAAGGCGCGAAAGCGUGGGGAGCAAACAGGAUUAGAUACCCGUGUAGUCC
rnacentral:rRNA from 1 species